CUGUGUUGCUUACCAAUGGAAUGGAAUUUCAUCGGAUUCACGAAUAUAUUCGCUCGGUGUCCUUACGGAUGUCGAGUGGACGACAAGCUUGCCUCGUGUUCCAAGCAUGCCUUGCUUUGUUGUGUGGCUGCUAUGGCUCAUGGGGUUAAUGCUCGUUCUCUCGGAUGUGGAUCGUAAUGUGUGGGCGAAGAGGGGCAAUGACCUUCGUUCGUUUGAAUCAUGCAUUUGUCAAAUUGACAUGAACGACUGCUGUACUCGUCUUGGCUCUAAGGGCCUUACGGCUCUAUGAGAUUUCAUGCGAGCAUCAGCAUCGUGAAGGAAUGCUACCUGGUUGAUCCUGCCAGUAGUCAUAG
rnacentral:misc_RNA from 1 species